rnacentral:rRNA from 1 species
GUCCAUGUCCAUGCUACCCUGAACAUGCCCGAUCUCAUAUGAUCUCUAGGGGAGCUAAGCAGGGUUGGGCCUGAUUAGUACUUGGAUGGAAGAAAGGAGAAGAGGGAGGGGUAAAGA